AACGUAGGUACCGAGCGUUAUCCGGAUUUACUGGGCGUAAAGCGCGUUCAGGCGGUUUGGCAAGUCGGGCAUGAAAUCUCUCGGCUCAACCGGGAGAGGUUGUCCGAUACUUCCAGACUUGAGGGCAGUAGAGGGUGGUGGAAUUCCGGGUGUAGUGGUGAAAUGCGUAGAUAUCCGGAGGAACACCAGUGGCGAAGGCGGCAUCCUGGACCGACACUGACGCUGAGGCGCGAAAGCUAGGGUAGCAAACGGG
rnacentral:rRNA from 1 species